GGAAUAUUGCACAAUGGGCGAAAGCCUGAUGCAGCGACGCCGCGUGAGGGAUGACGGCCUUCGGGUUGUAAACCUCUUUCAGUAGGGAAGAAGCGAAAGUGACGGUACCUGCAGAAGAAGCGCCGGCUAACUACGUGCCAGCAGCCGCGGUAAUACGUAGGGCGCAAGCGUUAUCCGGAAUUAUUGGGCGUAAAGAGCUCGUAGGCGGUUUGUCGCGUCUGCCGUGAAAGUCCGAGGCUCAACUUCGGAUCUGCGGUGGGUACGGGCAGACUAGAGUGAUGUAGGGGAGACUGGAAUUCCUGGUGUAGCGGUGAAAUGCGCAGAUAUCAGGAGGAACACCGAUGGCGAAGGCAGGUCUCUGGGCAUCUACUGACGCUGAGGAGCGAAAGCAUGGGGAGCGAACAGGAUUAGAUACCCGAG
rnacentral:rRNA from 1 species